GACGAACGCUGGCGGCGUGCUUAACACAUGCAAGUCGAGCGGUAAGGCCCUUUCGGGGGUACGACGAGCGGCGAACGGGUGAGUAACACGUGGGUGACCUGCCUUUAGUCUCUGGGAUAAGCCUGGGAAACCGGGGUCUAAUACCGGAUAUGACUCCGCGGCGCAUGUUGUGGGGUGGAAANCCUUGUGCGGCUGGAGAUGGGCCCGCGGCCUAUCAGCUUGUUGGUGGGGUGAUGGCCUACCAAGGCGACGACGGGUAGCCGGCCUGAGAGGGCGGACCGGCCACACUGGGACUGAGACACGGCCCAGACUCCUACGGGAGGGCAGCAGUGGGGAGGUCUUGCGCAAUGGGCGAAAAGCCUGACGCAGCGACGCCGCGUGAGGG
rnacentral:rRNA from 1 species